UACGGGGGGUGCGAGCGUUGUCCGGAAUCACUGGGCGUAAAGGGCGCGUAGGUGGUUUGAUAAGGGUGUGGUGAAAGUCCGGAGCUCAACUCCGGAUCUGCCGUGCCGACUGUCAAACUCGAGGGCUGUAGAGGCAGACGGAAUUCCGGGUGUAGCGGUGGAAUGCGUAGAGAUCCGGAGGAAGACCGGUGGCGAAGGCGGUCUGCUGGGCAGUUUCUGACACUGGAGGCGCGACGAGCGUGGGGAGCAAACAGG
rnacentral:rRNA from 1 species